UCCUCCUUCAGUGUGUCAAGAAGCUGGGCAC
rnacentral:piRNA from 1 species